rnacentral:rRNA from 1 species
ACGAACGCUGGCGGCAUGCCUAACACAUGCAAGUCGAACGAACCCUUCGGGGUUAGUGGCGCACGGGUGCGUAACGCGUGGGAAUCUGCCCUUUGCUUCGGAAUAACUCAGGGAAACUUGUGCUAAUACCGGAUGAUGUCGAAAGACCAAAGAUUUAUCGGCAAAGGAUGAGCCCGCGUAGGAUUAGGUAGUUGGUGAGGUAAAGGCUCACCAAGCCGACGAUCCUUAGCUGGUCUGAGAGGAUGAUCAGCCACACUGGGACUGAGACACGGCCCAGACUCCUACGGGAGGCAGCAGUGGGGAAUAUUGGACAAUGGGCGAAAGCCUGAUCCAGCAAUGCCGCGUGAGUGAUGAAGGCCUUAGGGUCGUAAAGCUCUUUUACCAGGGAUGAUAAUGACAGUACCUGGAGAAUAAGCUCCGGCUAACUCCGU